GAUGAAGAACGUAGUGAAAUGCGAUACGUAAUGUGAAUUGCAGAAUUCAGUGAAUCAUCGAGUCUUUGAACGCACAUUGCGCCCCCUGGUAUUCCGGGGGGCAUGCCUGUCCGAGCGUCAUUGCUGCCCUCAAGCACGGCUUGUGUGUUGGGCCUCCGUCCACCUCCCGGGGGACGGGCCCGAAAGGCAGCGGCGGCACCGCGUCCGGUCCUCGAGCGUAUGGGGCUUCGUCACCCGCUCUUGUAGGCCCGGCCGGCGCUUGCCGACACAUCAAUCUUUUUUCCAGGUUGACCUCGGAUCAGGUAGGGAUACCCGCUGAACUUAAGCAUAUCAAUAAGCGGAGGA
rnacentral:misc_RNA from 1 species